CCAACUGUGCCUUUUUGGUGCGAGGUGGCCUGCGUGCAGCGCGUGUCUUGCGGCGUGUGUUGUGCAGCGGGCCGAAAAGAAGCCAGUCAGGCUGGGCGGUCUGGCAGUGUGCUAGAGACCAAGGGCAUGCGUGCGGGGAUUGUGCGGAAUGUGGAGAGGUGCGGAUGGUGGACCAUCGUCUGCGCUGAUCUGCACUCUGCCCGCCGCGUUCGCAUGUCGCUGUCUUGUCGCUGCCAGCACCAACCAGCUCACACACUUACACU
rnacentral:misc_RNA from 1 species